CGGUAUUUUCGGUCUCAGUGAGGCUCGUCUCUCUGUCUACCCUUCGGUCCGGUCCUGGUGCCCCGGAUGAUUCUGCUGGGCGAAAGGAAGGCCUUGCCCCUUUUCUUGAAGGCGCCAUGACAGUUCUAGUACGACUGAAAGACAAAAGGAGCGAAAGACGUAGCCACAAUCCGAGAGGAGCGCCCACCCGCUUUCAGUAUUUGGGGAAAAUACGUCCAUUGAUGAGCUUCUAACAUAUAACCAGGAUGACAGUUAUCGUGCCCAACCUCCAAGAUAAUAUUGAAUGCUCCACUGUCUCUUAAAGACUUAACUAAAGAUUUUUAUUUCAGCAUGGGCUCUAGGACACACGG
ensembl:lncRNA